rnacentral:rRNA from 1 species
AUACGGAGGGUGCAAGCGUUAAUCGGAAUUACUGGGCGUAAAGCGUGCGUAGGCGGCUUGUUAAGUCAGAUGUGAAAGCCCCGGGCUCAACCUGGGAACUGCAUUCGAUACUGGCAGGCUAGAGUAUAGUAGAGGCAAGUGGAAUUCCGGGUGUAGCGGUGAAAUGCGUAGAUAUCCGGAGGAACAUCAGUGGCGAAGGCGACUUGCUGGACUAAUACUGGCGCUAAGGAGCGAAAGCGUGGGGAGCAAACGGGAUUAGAAACCCCAGUAGUCC